UUUUCGCAGCCCGACUUGAACGGAGCUCUUUUUUUGAAAAAUAAGCUGGGGAUUUCGAGGGUUGGAAUUUUUCAAAAAAAAGCGGGAGUGGAAGGCGGAAAUAGCU
rnacentral:sRNA from 1 species